AUCUGCGUCAAGGGCGCGAGCCUGACGCAGCGACGCCGCGUGGGGGCAGAAGGCUUUCGGGUUGUAAACCGCUUUUGGGGUGGGACGAAGCCACUCGGGUUAAUAGCCCAGAGGGUGACGGAUACCGCCAGAAGAAGCCCCGGCUAACUACGUGCCAGCAGCCGCGGUAAUACGUAGGGGGCAAGCGUUGUCCGGAUUUAUUGGGCGUAAAGAGCGUGUAGGCGGUUAGGUAGGUCCGUUGUGAAAACUCGAGGCUCAACCUCGAGACGCCGAUGGAAACCCCCUAACUAGAGUCCGGAAGAGGAGAGUGGAAUUCCUGGUGUAGCGGUGAAAUGCGCAGAUAUCAGGAAGGACACCCGUGGCUAAGGCGGCUCUCUAGUACGGUACUGACGCUGAGACGCGAAAGCGUGGGGAGCGAACAGGAUUAGAUACCCUGGUAGUCCACGCCGUAAACGAUGGGUGCUUUUUGUGGGAGGUGUCGACUCCUUCCGUGCGCGACGCUAACGCAUUAAGUGCCCCGCAUGGGGAGUACCUCCGCAAGGCUAAAACUCAAAGGAAUUGACGGGGGCCCGCACAAGCAGCGGAGCAUGUGGUUUAAUUCGACG
rnacentral:rRNA from 1 species